rnacentral:lncRNA from 1 species
CUUCUCUCCUGUCUGGCUAUUUUGCCUCUUGUCUGGGGGCAAGGAAUUCAAGGACCUCAAGGAGAAAGAGUUGUUCCUUGUUCUCUGAGUCAAAUAUGAACAAAAGAACGUUGCUUCUCUCAGCACAGCAAAGCAGAUUGGAAUUUUCCAAAGAAACUUGACUAAAGAAAAAGGGACACAAGCAAAGAAAACACAAAGUUCCACCUGUUUGGUAGAGUUGUGACAUGUUCACGUAAAUGCUUGCAUAUGCUAGAUCAAAGUUCUGGCCAAUGAGAUGGAAGCAGACAUUCUUAGGUGAGGCUUCCUACAAAGCUCCUUAAAAUAGGGGCAAACAGCUCAUUCAUGCCCUUUCUUCCGCUCCUCCCUUCCUCCUGCUGGAAGGCAGACAUGAUGGCUGGAAUAAGAAAGGAAGCCACACAUCAAGGACGGCAGUGCUUGGAUCCCUGAUGACUUUGUGAAGUCGUUAUAUCAGCCCUAAA